rnacentral:rRNA from 2 species
GCUUUUCCCCCAGGGGAAACAUAUCAAUAAGCGGAGGAAAAGAAAAUAACAAUGAUUUCCCUAGUAACGGCGAGUGAAGAGGAAAGAGCUCAAAGUUGGAACCUGUUUGGCCUAGCUAAACCGGAUUGUAGACUGUAGAAGUGUUUUCCAGGCAAGCCGAGUAAAUAAGUCCUUUGGAACAGGGCAUCAUAGAGGGUGAGAAUCCCGUCUUUGGCUUGAGCAUUUGCCUUUUGUGAUACGCUUUCAAAGAGUCAGGUUGUUUGGGAAUGCAGCCUAAAUUGGGUGGUAAAUCUCACCUAAAGCUAAAUAUUGGCGAGAAACCGAUAGCGAACAAGUACCGUGAGGGAAAGAUGAAAAGAACUUUGAAAAGAGAGUUAAACAGUAUGUGAAAUUGUUAAAAGGGAACCGUUUGGAGCCAGACUGGCUUGUCUGUAAUCAAUCUAGGCUUCGGCCCGGGAUGCACUUGCAGGCUAUGCCUGCCAACGACAAUUUGACUUGAGGGAAAAAACUAAGGGAAAUGUGGCCCACUUGUGGGUGUUAUAGUCCCUUAGAAAAUACCUUGGGUUGGAUUGAGGAACGCAGCGAAUGCUUUUUGGCGAGUUUUCCAGGAAGGUUUUCUGAGGUACUACGGUAUCAAGGUUGAUCUUUUUGGUUAUACUUCUAUUCGCUUAGGUUGUUGGCUUAAUGACUCUAAAUGACCCGUCUUGACCACCGGGACCA